UCUUUCUCUUUCUGCUGAGCGAGUUGGAAGACGGACGCCGACUUUGCCCUCUCUCAUUUAUUUCUCCUGUUUCAGCGAGAUGGAAGACGGACACAGACUUUGCCCUCUCUCAUUUAUUUCUCCUGUUUCAGAGCAAGAGCAUAUAAGCUGUUUACAUGACACCGGCCGGUACCUGUAACACCUGCAUCAUAUCAGGACUUUAUCGGGACUGAUAAUUCUGCCGGAAUCAAAUUAAUCUCUUAGAAGCGAACCUCCAAUCCAGAAGAGGACAACCCUUAAAGAAAAACUAGCAAUGGGCGGGCAGCGAUACUGGCGGAUGAGGAACUACCAGCUCCUAGCAUCAAGCUUCUACCAGUACUUUCCCCUCGAAGCCAAGGCAAACCAAACAGACAUCAUCCCACUACAGGACAACUGCUGGAUGCAUUGACUCCUGAAUUGGAGUUCUUUCUGAAGGGACAAAACCCGAAUUUGUGCAACCCUCGAAGACGAAAGAAAGGUCAGUGUGCAAGUAUGUUGUUUGCAGGGUGUGCUGUUGCAUGUGGGGUGCUAAUCACCCGUAGAAGACUGGGCUCCAUUUAAGCUAUGUUAGCCCCAGAUCACCUUCCCUGCAUGCUGUCCUAGUGGAUCCAGGGGGGCUGGAUACUUACCGCCCUCCCAAACAGUCCUUUGUUAACACCGCAAAGUAUCCAGGCUACUCGGGAAAGACCUGUGUCUUUGGGGACCUUUGUCAGCCCUGCUGACUUAACCCAGAGAGCCUUUGUACGGAAAGUCCCCAAAUGGCGACCUUACAUUGCUGCCAGGCCCAUCUAACUCCACAGACAAGACCCACUACAAGACUCUGUACACCAACCUCUUCCCUCGAGAGUAGAAAGGAUUGAGCAGAUCUAAUCCUUACCAAAGGAUGAAAUCGUCAACUGCAGAUGCUACCAGAUGGUGCAGCUCUGAUCUAUACAAUGACCGAAAACUGUCCUUCCCCUCUAUUCUAAAGAUUGACGACCAAAGACCAAUUUUUUGUUCUAAAAGGAGCUCAGCUAAAGAACGCUUAUCGAAAACCAAGAACCGACAACUGCUCUUCCCAUCUCCACAAAAAAGAGAUUAUUUUAAAGGGAAACCUCAGUUCCUCUAAUUCUUUGAGACAACAACCAAUUGCCAAAAAGCUUGAACCUCUGUUCUGAAAGGGGUUCGGAAAAAGGAGUUAAUUCUGGGACAAUCUCCCCAAAUUCCUCCCCUCAUCUUAACAUGCCCCCUCUGUUGUUUCACAGUUUGAUGUUUUUGUAGCAGCUUACCCUGAAAUAAAAAAACAAACAAACAAGGUUAACCCUA